UGGCUCAGACAGUAGAGCGUCUGCCUGCAAUGUGGGAGACCCAGGUUCGAUCCCUGG
rnacentral:tRNA from 1 species